GUGUUGUAGGCUGAGUUGGACAGGUUUUGUGAUGCUUUGAUCUCCAUUAGACAAGAAAUAUCAGAAAUUGAGAAAGGAACGGUGAACAUCAACAACAAUGUCAUCAAGGGAGCACCUCAUCCACCACAACUACUCAUGGCUGAUAA